rnacentral:tRNA from 1 species
GUAGAGGGCUUGUGUGAUCCUCACUGGCAGUGAGGGGGUCAGGGGUUCGAGUCCCCUUAGCUCCA